ensembl:rRNA 5S_rRNA 5S ribosomal RNA
GCUUACGGCCAUACCACCCUGAACGCGUCCGAUCUCGGAAGCUAAGCAGGGUCGGGCCUGGUUAGUACUUGGAUAGGAGACCGCCUGGGAAUACCAGGUGCUGUAAGCC